rnacentral:rRNA from 1 species
CAAGUCGCCGCGGGAAUACGAAGGGUGCAAGCGUUAAUCGGAAUUACUGGGCGUAAAGCGUGCGUAGGCGGUGAGUUAAGUCUGCUGUGAAAUCCCCGGGCUCAACCUGGGAAUGGCAGUGGAUACUGGCUCGCUAGAGUGUGUCAGAGGAUGGUGGAAUUCCCGGUGUAGCGGUGAAAUGCGUAGAGAUCGGGAGGAACAUCAGUGGCGAAGGCGGCCAUCUGGGACAACACUGGCGCUGAGGCACGAAAGCGUGGGGAGCAAACAGGAUUAGAUACCCCCGUAGUCCCUGUCUCUUAUA